UACGAAGGGGGCUAGCGUUGUUCGGAAUCACUGGGCGUAAAGCGCACGCAGGCGGAUUGAUAAGUCAGGGGUGAAAUCCCGGAGCUCAACUUCGGAAUUGCCUUUGAUACUGUCUAUCUUGAGUCCGGGAGAGGUGAGUGGAAUUCCUAGUGUAGAGGUGAAAUUCGUAGAUAUUAGGAAGAACACCAGUGGCGAAGGCGGCUCACUGGCCCGGUACUGACGCUCAUGUGCGAAAGCGUGGGGAGCAAACAGG
rnacentral:rRNA from 1 species